ensembl:lncRNA
GCCCCAGGGACCGAGCUCCGAGAGAGCAAGCCAGCCCAGCGUCCGGCUCUGGCUCAAGGGCCCCAGGGCUGGGCUGGAAACAGAAUCCAACUGUGCCUCUCGAGGCCUCCAGCUGAAGCAGCUCUUUUCUUUUUCUUUUGCCUUUUCUUUUCUUCUUCUUCUUCUUUUAUUUUUUCUAAUUUUGAGACAAGGUCCUCCUGAGUCCCUUAGCUGCCCGAGGCUAGGCUCAAACUUACGAUCCUCCUGCUUCAGCAUCCCGGAGUGCUGGGGUCACAGGUGUGCAGCACCUCGCCUGCUGAGCAGCUCCUGGGCAGCAUUUCUGAGUCUCCACCGACUGUCACCUGAGCCCGAGGACUGCACACCGGCCCUGGAGGCCACUGUGCCUGCAGACGGCAAAAGGCGACACAUAGACACCAGGCAGUGACGGUAACACUGGCCGGGCCCACGCACUUCCAGGAACAGUGGAAUCCUUGGGGCAACCAGGCUCAGGAUGUUUGCCAGACGGCAGGCGAUGCUGUCCCCCAGAAGAUGUAGCUUGUCCUGGCCGGUGGCUGACUCUGCCGUGGGUAUGCACACCAGCUCCUGUGUGGGAUUCCAGCGAUGAGGCAGAAAGGCCGCACGCGUUGUGGCAGCAGCAAAGGCCACUUGCCUGUGUGGCCAGGAUGUGACAGAGAAGGAAGAGAAGGGCCCGGUCCCCCACGUCUCCAAGGGCUCCCCAGGGACCUCGCCCUCAGCCUAUCACUGGGCUUGUCCGGCCUGGAGGAGAAUUUCUGCAGAACCAGUGAGCUCAUCCACUUGAGUGAGGGCACGGGAGGCCAGGAGGAGGCCCUGAGCGCUGUCCACCGCGAGCCAUGUUGGGGUGAACAGGAGUGCCUGCUGGAUCCAAGCCUGCCCCAGAGAAUACAAGAUCUGGGAGCUCUUCUGAGGAAAGAGACGGAACCCCAGCUGGUCACUGAGCAGAUGCUGCAGCCCCCCGGUGGGUCCAUGCACACCAGGAGCUCCGCUCGCCAGGUGCUGGCGGCCUCCUCCCGGUGUUUGCUGGUGAAGACGAGCCUGGACUUCCUUCAAAGUACGGCUGUCGCUGGCACAGGAGUGGGGGUUGGGGGUGACAGCUUGAGGGGGUUGUUUUUCCUUGUUAGCAAGUUCUGCGUUUAACAUUUAAAAUUAUGACAACUGAUGCAAUGUUUUCUUGAAAUGGUGAAGCUAUUUUAAACCAUUCAGCUGGACAGGAGUUUGUAGUUUAUACUGGUACACGUUUAAAACACUUCGCAAUUAAUUAUUGGGCUUAAAAAAUUAAAGCUAUAAUCUGGGCGUGGUGCUGCACACCUGUAAUCCCAGCACUUGGGAGGCUGACACAGGAGUAUCGCUGUGAGUUUGAGGCCAGCCUGGGCAAUAUGGUGAGACCCGUGUCAAUCCCCCCAGAUCAAAGCUGUAAAUUUAUUCCGAUUUCUGUCUUGCACUUCAUUUCAGUGGAAAUAAAGGGCCGGCUAGGAGCACUCUGACUGGCAGUGACGAGACAAUGACAGCUUUUGCUGAAGGCGAAACCUGCCGCCGUCAUUCUUGGGGAUCGGUAGCCUUUCCCCAGUGGGCUUGAGGCCCGGCGCGAGGUCCGUUCUUCACCAGGAGUGCGAAUUCUUCUCUCUAAAUGCAUGUUGACGUUUAGUUGGCACACAGUAAUCACACGCAUGUGGGUUUCGGUGCCGCACUUCGGCACGCGGCACGGAAUGAUCCGUGACUGACGCAGCCAUCGCCUCAAAUGGCAGUCGUUUCUUGGGGGAGGCCCCCGCAUCCCCUCCCUCACUGUUCUGAAAUACUCAGCUGAUCACGGCCCACCACACUUAUCCAGCCCUGCUGUCCUCCCACCCGCCUGCACCCCAACGCCCACGACCGCCCCUCUCCCCGUCCGGGGCUCGGGAGUCUCAGUGUCCCCUUCUUCUAGGAGAAACCUCUUAGCUGUGAUAAAAACAUCCCACGAGUGUUUGCUUUGUUUUGUUUUGGUUGGGUUUGGCGUUGUCUUUCUGCCCUGGCUCUUUCACCUGGAGGGGCGGCCCCCAGUUCCGUGAGAAAUGGAAGGCGGCCGCCCUGAAGAAGCCGAGCGCGCUCUCUGCCCAGGACCCCAGGCUGCAGCCCGCGUGCCCACAGGCGGGAUGCGCACGGCGCCCAGCUGUCGGGAGGGGGGUCCCGGGGCGCCAGGCGUGGACAGUGACAGGGCCGGCAGGGUCCACGGGGCGGGGAGGGGACGGUGUCUGGGGCUGAGGGCCAUGGGGCAGCAGAAUGAAUUAGCAGCUUCUCGUUCUCCUCCCGGAAUCCCCCAGGCCCUGGGACUUUUUGACCAGGAUGACGACCUUCAAGGACUGGGUGGUCGCUCUGACCACAGUGCAGAGUGGGGGAAGGAAAGGAGACGUGUCAGGAGGAGAUUCCGUGCCCGCCUGGACCAAGGAGCGUCAGAAGAAUGGGGAGGAGAAGGCGGGACCCAAGGCUAUUCAGGGAACCAAGUCAAGAGGCCCACAUUCAUCCCUGACAGCAUUAUUUAUCAGCAAUACACGUGUUUGUUUUGUUUUAUUUUGUUUUGGAGACAGGGUCUCACUAUAUCAUCCAGGCUGGUCUUGAACUCCCAGCAAUCCUCUUGCUUCGGCCUCCAGGUAACUAGGAUUACAGGUUUGCACCACCAUAUCUAGUUUAUACGUAUUUUUUGUUAUGUAUCAGCUAACAAAUUUAAUUUUAAAAACAAAUCCUGUUCUUUAAAACUUUUGUAAAACCAGGUGUUGUAAAA